AUUGGAUCCAGACUUUGAUUAUGGCUCAGGAUGAACGCUAGCUACAGGCUUAACACAUGCAAGUCGAGGGGAAACGAUAGAGAAAGCUUGCUUUUUCUAGGCGUCGACCGGCGCACGGGUGAGUAACGCGUAUCCAACCUGCCCAUCACUUGGGGAUAACCUUGCGAAAGUAAGACUAAUACCCAAUGAUAUCUCAAGAAGACAUCUGAAUGAGAUUAAAGAUUUAUCGGUGAUGGAUGGGGAUGCGUCUGAUUAGCUUGUUGGCGGGGUAACGGCCCACCAAGGCUACGAUCAGUAGGGGUUCUGAGAGGAAGGUCCCCCACAUUGGAACUGAGACACGGUCCAAACUCCUACGGGAGGCAGCAGUGAGGAAUAUUGGUCAAUGGGCGAGAGCCUGAACCAGCCAAGUAGCGUGCAGGAUGACGGCCCUAUGGGUUGUAAACUGCUUUUAUAAGGGAAUAAAGUGAGCCUCGUGAGGCUUUUUGCAUGUACCUUAUGAAUAAGGACCGGCUAAUUCCGUGCCAGCAGCCGCGGUAAUACGGAAGGUCCGGGCGUUAUCCGGA
rnacentral:rRNA from 1 species